AACGAACGCUGGCGGCAUGCCUAACACAUGCAAGUCGAAAGAGACCUUCGGGUCUAGUGGCGCACGGGUGCGUAACGCGUGGGAACCUGCCCUUAGGUUCGGAAUAACUCCCCGAAAGGGGUGCUAAUACCGGAUAAUGUCUUCGGACCAAAGAUUUAUCGCCUUUGGAUGGGCCCGCGUUGGAUUAGCUAGUUGGUAGGGUAAAAGCCUACCAAGGCGACGAUCCAUAGCUGGUCUGAGAGGAUGAUCAGCCACACUGGGACUGAGACACGGCCCAGACUCCUACGGGAGGCAGCAGUGGGGAAUAUUGGACAAUGGGCGAAAGCCUGAUCCAGCAAUGCCGCGUGAGUGAUGAAGGCCUUAGGGUUGUAAAGCUCUUUUACCCGGGAUGAUAAUGACAGUACCGGGAGAAUAAGCUCCGGCUAACUCCGUG
rnacentral:rRNA from 1 species